GAUGGAGGUACUGACCCUUGAACCAGUCCAUGCAAAUAGAGCCUGUGAAACCAAACUCGGGUAAUUUUGUUUAAUGAGAUACAGAACUUGUAGGAAUAUCAACUUCCCAAAUAUUACUACAAGUGUCUAGAGUUAGAAAUCUUCACAUUCGAAUCAGGAUAUGUUGAUCACAGCCUGUGUCCAGGUGUGUUCAGAUGUCACUUCGGUGGGGCCUGCCUUGACACUUCAAAUCACUUUAGGCCAGGCACAGUGGCUCACACCUGUAAUCCCAGCACUUCAGGAGGCAGAGGCAGAAGAAUCACUUGAACCCAGGAGUUUGAGACUAGCCUGAGCAACAUAGCGAAACCCUAGCCCCAUUUAAAAAAAAAAAAAAAAGACCUUUUAAGCUGUUGACCACUCUCCUUGAGUUAUGAACACUUAGCUCCCAAAAUGCCGGCCUGCAACAAGGAGUUUAUGCUGAGUGCCAGUGAAGGCGCCCUCCUUCAUGAGAGAGGCCUGCUAUGAGGAGAGCGGAACCAGGCAGCGCGUAGUGAUGCAGUUAGCUUACACCCAGCACAGGGUUCCGCACAGCUUAAACCCGGCACGGGGCUCAGCAGCGAGUAGGGCUGUGCAGUUAGCUUACAUUUGGCACAGGGUUCAGUCCAGCUUAAAUCCAGCAUGGGGUUCAGCGGCGCAGUCAUGAUGCAGUUAGCUUACAUCCAGCAUGGGGUUCUUAUUGCCAGCUGGAAUGUGCAGUCCUGGGCUGUGAUGAGCGCUGCUCCAGCUGCUCUGUGCCCCGCACUCUGGGUCGGUUGCAUAAUGGAGGUGUCUUUCAUGGACUGCCCACCUCCCCUGCUGUCAGCUCAGCACAGGCAGAGCUUUGUUUGCUUCACACGUGUCCCCGAUACCCAGGACCUUGUUGAGCAAGUGACAUCGUCCCUGUUGUGGCUCUCUGACCCCUCUGUGUGCUGGUAUGUCCCUGCGCCGGCCUAGGUGGACAACGCGUACUGGCUGUGGACUUUCCAGGGGCGCCUCCUGCAGAAGAACAACAAAGACCGCUUCUGCCAGCUGCUGUGGCGGCCCCGGCCUCCCACACUCCUGAGCCAGGAGCAGAUCAAGCAAAUUAAAAAGGAUCUGAAGAAAUACUCUAAGAUCUUUGAACAGAAGGAUCGUUUGAGUCAGUCCAAAGCCUCAAAGGAAUUGGUGGAGAGAAGGCGCACCAUGAUGGAAGAUUUCCGGAAGUACCGGAAAAUGGCCCAGGAGCUCUAUAUGGAGCAGAAAAACGAGCGCCUGGAGUUGCGAGGAGGGGUGGACACUGACGAGCUGGACAGCAACGUGGACGACUGGGAAGAGGAGACCAUUGAGUUCUUCGUCACUGAAGAAAUCAUCCCCCUCGGGAAUCAGGAGUGACCUGGAGCGCUGUGUGCAGCCACGUAUGGCGUGGAGCCGAGGCCAUCCUGCAGGAAGCCACGUGACUCCCGCCUCCUCCCCGUGCUCUCUGGCUCUGGACUGUGACUGCGCCUGGAUUCUGCCAUUGCGACACAUUUUUGUGCCUUUCAGCCCCUGGUGUCUGCAGUGGGGGGUUUAAGGCACCCGCUUCCAUUUCUUUCUUGUUUGGAGUUUUCUGUCGGAACCGCCGGCGUUGGCUCCGUAGACUUAGCAACGCCACCGGCAGCACCUUCUCCUGCGCCCAGUGAUGUUUCCACGGUGCCUGUACACAGCCGAGCGGCAUUUCCGUUGAAGGACUUGCAUCCCCAUCGUGGGCAGUGCUGGAUGUGUCCUGGAGACCCACCGGGAGGGCACCGCCAUGCCUCGCACCGCCACCGUGCAGGUUGUGGCUGGUUUUCUCCGCAGGUUGAACGUGGAAAUAAAAGCAAACUUGUAUG
rnacentral:sRNA from 1 species